ACGCCUAUUGCACUCCGGGGUCCGGAGCGCUCUAGUGUCAAAAGUGGCUAUUGCACUCCGGAGUCCGGAGUCCUCUAGCGUCAAAAGUGGCUAUUGCACUCCGGAAAUUUAUGGCGACGAAUGGCAAAUAACGACUGAUUCUGUGUUUAACAUAAAUACCAUUUAUCCUGAGUUCAGAGUCUGUCUUUCAUUCAAGCUUCAAUUAUAGUGUGAAAGAAGAGGGAGUUAUGCACUGAUCUGUGGUUUCACCUUUGUUACAAUAUCGUACAACAGGUCAACAGCAUGUGAUGAGUUUUUGAGAUUUCCCCAAAUGAAAAACAAACCUGAUGCCUUCAAGAAAUUAGUGUUUGACAUUUUGAAAAAAAAUGUAUCAUGUUUGAAAAAACCUUUCGUCAUCGUCGAGGAAUAUUCUUUUUCCAACAUAAGGGAGAUAGAUGUUACAAAAUACUGGUAGU